rnacentral:misc_RNA from 1 species
UUGCCAUGGCAACAAAGUGGCGUAUCUGACCGCUUGUUUCAAAACUACUCAUCCUUCGCGUCCCUUGGUAUUCAUAUGAUAAUUCUUAACUAUUAAUUCUCAAUCGAACGAGCAAAAGAUAAGUGCAAGCGGAGAUGAAGCGAAUAAUUGCGGAACAGAAAAAGCUUGAACUGUUUCAGCUCAUCCGUGAUGAACGCAAGACACUUUAUGGAGAGUUUAAGGGCCCCAAUGCCCGCUCGCGUAGGCUUCAAGAAUGGGGUCGCAUACGCGAGCGAGCCAUUCAACUUGGCCUGAUAAAUGACGCAACAUCGACGCAAAGCAUGCUGCAGGGUGUUAUAAAAAACACCCAAGACCGGACAAAAAGUGAAAAAAUUCCAGCAAAAGAACCAGUCGGGGGCAGGUGCAGUGGUCUGGACCCAGCUCGACGAUACCGUCAUGGAUUGCGUGGGCAGAGACAACUACCUGACGUCGUUUAAGGUUCCUGGCGGGAUUACCUGGGGCCAGAUGAUGACGAAUCAGCAAGAAGCCGGCCCAGAAACCGCACUGACAACCGCGGGAGAAACGUCAUCAGCACCCAGUAUCUACUUCACUACAGAAGACGGUCGGUUGAUAGGGCUGGGCACGCCGCUCGCCCAGUCUCCGGCGACCAAUGCGACCACGAUAACCACCACGGUCCUCUCGACCGUCCCCUUGACCAGGGCAGGCUCGUCAAACGCAACAACCCCUUCGACUGGUCCGCCCCAGGAAAGCGCCAUGGCUCUCUCGUCCGGCAAGGCCUCGUCAGCUGACGCAGCCCCUUCGACUGUUCCGUCCCACUCCCAGGGGAGCGCCACGGCUCUCUCGACCGGCAAGGCCUCGUCAGCUGACCCAGCCCUCCCGACUGGAGCGUCCCAGGAGAGCGUCACGGCUCUCUUGACCGGCGAGGCCUCGUCAGCUGACGCAGCCCUCUCGACUAGAGCGUCCCAGGAGAGCGCCACGGCUCUCUCGACCGGCGAGGCCUCGUCAGCUGACGUGGCCCUCUCGACUGGAGCGUCCCAGGAGAGCGCCACGGCUCUCUCGACCGGCGAGGCCUCGUCAGCUGACGUGGCCCUCUCGACUAGAGCGUCCCAGGCAUCGGAGAGAAACCGCGAUGAGAUUGAAGCGCGCCUCCAGCUCAUCCGCUCAACGCCACUCUUCAGACGGACGCCGGAGGAGGUGACCCUGCUCCGCACCUACCUCAGCUUACAGAUCC